rnacentral:rRNA from 1 species
AUCUACUCAGAGUGCUCGGGUGGAGGUUUGUGUCUGGGGCCGUGCGCGUGCGCUUCGUGUGUGCGUGCUCGUGCUUUGGCGCUUCCUCUUUUGCCCGCCUCUGUGCUCUUACUCGGAGGGGGUGACUUCUGUGUCACCUUGAGUAAAUCAUGGUGCUCACAGCAGUCGUGCGGGCCCUGUGCCCUGUGAACAGUCUAUGCGGACUGAAUUGGUUUUGCAAGGCAUGACGAAACAUGACGUCGCUGCUGGUCGCGAGUGUGAGGGCGCAGUCCUCGUGGCUGUGCCGAGCGGUUUGCCAGUAGUGACGUAAUGAUCAAUGGAGACGGUAGCUGGCAUUGGUAUUGCGCGGCGAGAGGUGAAAUUCUGCGACCCCCGCAAGACCUCCUAAAGCGAAGGCGUCUGCCAAGGACGUGUUCACCAAUCAUGAACGAAAGUCAGAGGAUCGAAGGCGAUCAGAUACCGCCCUAGUUCUGACCCUAAACGAUGCCAACCAUCAAUCCGCGUGAGCACCCUAUCUAACGGGCUCGGCGGGCAGCUCCCUUCUUCCGGGAAACCAGAGUUUUUGGGUUCCGGGGGGAGUCUGGUUACAAAACU